CGACCGCUGGCGGCGUGCUUAACACAUGCAAGUCGAACGGAAAGGCCCUGCUUUUGUGGGGUGCUCGAGUGGCGAACGGGUGAGUAACACGUGAGUAACCUGCCCUUGACUUUGGGAUAACUUCAGGAAACUGGGGCUAAUACCGGAUAGGAGCUCCUGCUGCAUGGUGGGGGUUGGAAAGUUUCGGCGGUUGGGGAUGGACUCGCGGCUUAUCAGCUUGUUGGUGGGGUAGUGGCUUACCAAGGCUUUGACGGGUAGCCGGCCUGAGAGGGUGACCGGCCACAUUGGGACUGAGAUACGGCCCAGACUCCUACGGGAGGCAGCAGUGGGGAAUAUUGCACAAUGGGCGGAAGCCUGAUGCAGCAACGCCGCGUGCGGGAUGACGGCCUUCGGGUUGUAAACCGCUUUCGCCUGUGACGAAGCGUGAGUGACGGUAAUGGGUAAAGAAGCACCGGCUAACUACGUG
rnacentral:rRNA from 1 species